AGGUUUAGCUAAUCUCAGUAGGAGCAGCCUCUGUGGGAGAGCUGUGAUCACACAGCAAAUAUUUGGAGGAAGAGGGCAAUGAUUGACAUUUUCUUCACGUGCUGUCAACAUUCCUGUUCAGAUUUGAGGACAUCUCUGCCAUCCCUCGGAGCCUCAUCCUGUCAGACAGGGAAAGAUCUCCACCACAGUUUACCCACCAAGCUCACCUUCUGAUCCUUUUAUCGUCAUCGGGCCUUUCUUACAUGUCACAGACAGAAGAGUACGACCUUUGUACUCUGUUUCUACUGAAAGUGCACUCUGACUUAUUGCAGUCUGAUUAUACUCUCAUGUAGUGAGUGUUUCCACAAACUGUGUCCCAGUUUGAGGCUAAAACAUGGAAAAACUCAAGUCUUAAGAUUCCUGAAGAUAACGGAAUAGCAAGAUUGGUGGCUACUUCAUUCCUCAUUUCACAUGGAUGGACCCAGAAUGGCUCUCCAAAAAACACCGAGUUUUAGUUAAGCUGUUUCCUGGCUGCCUGUGUUCUCUUCCUCGAACCCUUUAUUGCUGCCUUUUUACAAAACCAGACCUUUUUCAAGGUAAGAUAAAAAUCUGAAAGGGGGGGGGGUGGACUGGUCAUUUUGAAAAGCCAAAUUGUUGCUGUCUGAUUAGUGCUUUACAGAAGUAUCUCAAAUUUUCCUCAUGUGAGUGAGUCAUCUUAGUGUAUUUCAUUAUUUCCUAAGUGUUAUCUCUGCCCCAUUGUCUUUUACCAUGUUUUUGUGCUUUUAGCUUUAACAUUGAGUGAAACAGUCUAGGGGCAUAGGUUAAAUGAUUCACUACACAGGUAAGCAGAUAACCGAAAAGUAAGAGCAGAGAUGCCAAGCUUCUGCCUGCCUUGUUAGUAGCACUGUGAGCAAAACAAGAAAACUGUUGUUAGCAGAAGCACUAAAGAGCUGCUGCUGGAGGACUUGAGUGUUAGCAAAUGGUCAAUUUAAAUUUUGUUAAGACAACAGAAAUGUCUGCAGCACGUUUUGCCUGUAACUGUUACUUAAACUAUUCUUCAUGCACAGUGUCUCAGAGGAUUUUCUGGAGUUUUCAUUCAGGACAGAGAUAUUUUCUGAAGAAGGAACAUUUUCUAAAAAUUUACAAAGGGGGAAAAGGAACUAUGAGCUUUACUGAAAAUCUGGUGCUCCGUCCCAAGACCACAGCCCCAAGUAUAACAGACGCAAAAAUGUAUCCACAAAAGAAGAGAAAGAUAAAAGAAAAAAGCCACUACUCCCUGGCAAUCAUAUUUUAUCUCAAUGCUAAGUAUAUAUGUUUCAUUUUGGGUAAAAUCCUUCACUCACCAAAUAUCUACCAUCAUAGCAGUAGGAAAAAAUUCUAUUUAUAUACAAUUAUUCUGGGCUGAUGAGAUGACUCAGCAGGUCAAGGGCUUGCUACACAAGCCUAUGAACCUGAAUUCAAUCCCCU